rnacentral:rRNA from 1 species
ACGGAAGGCAGCAGUAGGGAAUCUUCGGCAAUGGGGGCAACCCUGACCGAGCAACGCCGCGUGAGUGAAGCAGGUUUUCGGAUCGUAAAGCUCUGUUGUAAGAGAAGAACGUGUGUGAGAGUGGAAAGUUCACACAGUGACGGCAACUUACCAGAAAGGGACGGCUAACUACGUGCCAGCAGCCGCGGUACUACGUAGGUCCCGAGCGUUGUCCGGAUUUAUUGGGCGUAAAGCGAGCGCAGGCGGGUUAAUAAGUCUGAAGUUAAAGGCAGUGGCUUAACCAUUGUUCGCUUUGGAAACUGUUAGACUUGAGUGCAGAAGGGGAGAGUGGAAUUCCAUGUGUAGCGGUGAAAUGCGUAGAUAUAUGGAGGAACACCGGUGGCGAAAGCGGCUCUCUGGUCUGUAACUGACGCUGAGGCUCGAAAGUGGGGGGAGCAAACAGGAUUAG